UCCGUAGGUGACCAGCGUUGUCCGGAUUUACUGGGCGUAAAGAGCGCGCAGGCGGUCGUUCAAGUCGAGUGUGAAAGCCCACGGCUCAACUGGGGAGGGUCACUCGAUACUGAUCGACUUGAAGGCAGGAGAGGGAAGCGGAAUUCCCGGUGUAGUGGUGAAAUGCGUAGAUAUCGGGAGGAACACCAGUGGCGAAGGCGGCUUCCUGGCCUGUUCUUGACGCUGAGGCGCGAAAGCUAGGGGAGCAAACGGG
rnacentral:rRNA from 1 species